ACCGCCUUCCCAGAGACCCCAGUCUGCCAGCAUCUGUCCACAUCACUUCCUCAACCCCUUCCAGCCAGGAGUUCUGGGAGCAGACAAGAAGGGGUGGUGGUGGUGGAGACUGGGAUUUGGGGGAGUGAAGGCUGAGGAAGUGGCUGGGGAGUAAGGAGGGAAGAGGGAUAGAUAAUUAGUCGGUGUCUAACUGGAAAUCUGCCUUCUUUGUGCCUUGGGGGCAGCUCUGUCUGUGGGCUUGGCUGGAGACAAAUAUUAGCCUGUGUGGUAGAAGGAGUCCCGGACUAAGUCAGCAGACCUGGGUUCAAAAGCUAAUUCACUGUGGGAUCUCAGGCUAUGAUUCCGUUUUCAAAGGCCACUGAGGCACAGGUGGAAUAGCUUCUGCCCUGGGGCAAUGGCUGAGUUGUCUUCCACCAUAAAUGUCAACUCGUGGAGACCCUGGACUCGGGGACUAUGUCCCUUCUCCAUCUGGCUGCAAAACAUCUGGCUGUGCCCAGCCCUUCGAUUCUGCUGACAAAAUCAGUACAGAGACUUAGAUGAUGCAUUUCAGGGCUAGCCCGCCGGGACCCAGGACCUGUCCUUCCCAAGAAGAUGCCCAGGGACAGCAUGGAUGGGGCCACAGUAACCUGAGAAUGAAAAACAGAGGGGAAGAAUCCUGUGGCCAAGAGAAGCCUUUCUUGCUGGCCGCUUGACCCCAAAUAAGCACCCACCCUGUCAAGAUCCUUUGAAAAACACUCAGAUCUUAAUAGUCAAAAUUAAGAUAAUCUAUAGCUUGGAGAGACUUUUGAGAUUAUCCAGCCCUAAUUCCUAAUUUUACAGAUUAGAGAAAUUAAGGCCCUGAGAGAAAAAUGCCUUGGACUCAAAAUCAUAAAGCAAGUAAUUGGUAUAGCCAGUGUACCCAAGUCUUCUACAACCUUUAAUCUAAUCCCCCAGCUGUUGUCCCCUCCUCUCCUCUCAAAUUACCUUGUAUUUACUUUGUCUAUAUUUUGUAUUUACCUCUAAGUGUAUGUGAUGUUUUUCACACAGACCGCAAGGGCUGAUUUUUGUCUUUAUAACCUCUGCACCAGGUACAGUGACUGGCAUACAGUAAGAACUUAAUAAAUUCUCAUCACUUGGAUAAUCCUAACUCCAAAUCUAGUACCACACUGAGUCUUUAUAUUGAAUCAAGUGUUGAUCUAAGUGGCACAGACUCUAAGUAUAAGGCUUCCUGAAGGGAGUGGCACUUAUAUAACCAGAAAAAUCUACCUGCAUCAGGAAGAAGCAAAACCAAAUCAGCCAUAGGACUUUGAUGUUCUCAGUCCCGGAGGAAAAAAAGUCCUGGCUCCAAUCC